UACGUAGGGUGCGAGCGUUAAUCGGAAUUACUGGGCGUAAAGUGUGCGCAGGCGGCAGAGCAAGUCGAGUGUGAAAGCCCCGGGCUUAACUUGGGAAUUGCGCUCGAAACUACUUUGCUGGAGUGUGGCAGAGGAAGGUGGAAUUCCACGUGUAGCGGUGAAAUACGUAGAGAUGUGGAGGAACACCAAUGGCGAAGGCAGCCUUCUGGGCCAGCACUGACGCUCAUGCACGAAAGCGUGGGGAGCAAACAGG
rnacentral:rRNA from 1 species